rnacentral:rRNA from 1 species
UACAGAGGUCUCAACCGUUGUUCGGAUUCAUUGGGCGUAAAGGGUGCGUAGGCGGUCGGGUAAGUCGGAUGUGAAAUCUCAGGGCUCAACCCUGAAACUGCAUUCGAUACUGCCCGGCUAGGGUACUGGAGAGGAGACUGGAAUUUACGGUGUAGCAGUGAAAUGCGUAGAUAUCGUAAGGAAGACCAGUGGCGAAGGCGAGUCUCUGGACAGUUACCGACGCUGAGGCACGAAGGUCAGGGGAGCAAACGGG